GCGGCGCGGGACCUGUGGGUGGGUGGGGAAGCGGGAGGGGGGAGGAGGCGAGGAGGUGGGCGUGUGGAGGUGUGGAGUCCGGAUGGGGUGUGGAGGUGUGGAGGUGUGGGAUCGGGAUGGGUGUGUGGCAGGGGCAUGAGGCGGCAGGGUGGCAGGGGCGGAAGUUGCCAGCGGCGCGGGACCUGAUUGGAGGAUUGGGGCGCAGGGUUGGUGCGGGUCGGGUAGGCACUAGGCUGGUGUUGGUGUUGGCCUGCGCACUUGCGCUUGGCUUGCGCCCUUAUUUGCCUUCUGUGCCGUCCGAUUAAACCCUAACACGGUCCUGGACGGAGCCGAUUUGCCCUCCCCCUUCGGUUGCCCUGCUCGUAUACACACGGAAGCGAGGGAUGCAUCCGUGUAGAAACCCCCAACACUCAUUAGGGGAGUUUCACACGUGACAACCUGGUAUCGGGUUUACCUGAAGCCUCCCAGGAACGUCCUCAGGUAGCCCAUGCUCGCGUUCAUCUCGUUCUGCCCCUCGCCGUCGCCUACAGGCAGUACACGGCAGGCAGCAGGCAGGGCAAGGCGGGCACCAUCACAUUUACAGCGGUGGCGCGGAGGGCCGGUACGGAGUUGUGGGGCCUGCGUCCGUCCACCCGCCACGCCACGCCACGCCCUGCCGCGCCCCGCACACGACACGCACCCGGCACGCCCCGACACACGCCAAGCCAAGCACCUGUGCCACCCGAUGCACCCAACGCGCGACACGCACCCGACAUUCCC
rnacentral:lncRNA from 1 species